UUUUAAGAUAUCCGGUGAUCACAGUACUAUAGCUGCUGGCGAGAAUGAAAUUGUUGGUGUUGAAGAGGAUGGUGGCGGGAAUAACACAUCCAACCCACUCUUGAGCACGGAUGAGGAAGAAACAGAUUCAUCUGAAAGGAGUUUUGUUUUCCGGAAAAGACCCCCCAUUAGUAAGGAAACAGAGGAGGAUUCUUCCAGCGAUAGUUUCGUUUUCCGGAAGACUGCAAAAGUAGACCAAUAAAGAUAGUUCAAAUAAU